GUCGAGGGGCAGCGGGGGAGCAGCAAUGCUCCCGCCGGCGACCGGCGUACGGGUGAGUAACACGUAUGGAACCUGCCCGCAGCAGGGGGAUAAGCGGAAGAAAUUCCGUCUAAUACCGCGUAACACCGCGGAGGGGCAUCCCUCGGCGGUUAAAGAUUCAUCGGCUGCGGAUGGCCAUGCGGCGCAUUAGCUAGUCGGCGGGGUAACGGCCCACCGAGGCGACGAUGCGUAGGGGUUCUGAGAGGAAGGUCCCCCACACUGGUACUGAGACACGGACCAGACUCCUACGGGAGGCAGCAGUGAGGAAUAUUGGUCAAUGGCCGGGAGGCUGAACCAGCCAAGUCGCGUGAGGGAAGACGGCCCUACGGGUUGUAAACCUCUUUUGUCAGGGAGCAAGGUGCGGGUCGGGACCUGCUGUGAGAGUACCUGAAGAAAAAGCAUCGGCUAACUCCGUGCCAGCAGCCGCGGUAAUACGGAGGAUGCGAGCGUUAUCCGGAUUUAUUGGGUUUAAAGGGUGCGCAGGCGGAGGCACAAGUCAGCGGUAAAAUCGCGGGGCUCAACCCCGCUCCGCCGUUGAAACUGUGUCCCUUGAGUGCGCGAAGGGUAGGCGGAAUGCGUGGUGUAGCGGUGAAAUGCAUAGAUAUCACGCAGAACUCCGAUCGCGAAGGCAGCCUACCGACGCGCGACUGACGCUCAUGCACGAAAGCGUGGGUAUCGAACAGGAUUAGAUACCCUGGUAGUCCACGCAGUAGACGAUGAAUGCUAUCUGUCCGGCCGGAAUGACGGCUGGGUGGCACAGCGAAAGCGUU
rnacentral:rRNA from 1 species